AGUGAACGCUGGCGGUAGGCCUAACACAUGCAAGUCGAACGGCAGCACAGAGGAGCUUGCUCCUUGGGUGGCGAGUGGCGGACGGGUGAGGAAUACAUCGGAAUCUACUCUGUCGUGGGGGAUAACGUAGGGAAACUUACGCUAAUACCGCAUACGACCUACGGGUGAGAGCAGGGGAUCUUCGGACCUUGCGCGAUUGAAUGAGCCGAUGUCGGAUUAGCUAGUUGGCGGGGUAAAGGCCCACCAAGGCGACGCUCCGUAGCUGGUCUGAGAGGAUGAUCAGCCACACAGGAACUGAGACACGGUCCAGACUCCUACGGGAGGCAGCAGUGGGGAAUAUUGGACAAUGGGCGCAAGCCUGAUCCAGCCAUACCGCGUGGGUGAAGAAGGCCUUCGGGUUGUAAAGCCCUUUUGUUGGGAAAGAAAUCCAUCUGGUUAAUACCCGGGUGGGAUGACGGUACCCAAAGAAUAAGCACCGGCUAACUUCGUGCCAGCCGCCGCCGUAA
rnacentral:rRNA from 1 species